CUGCUCAUGAGUAUUAAAUAGCCGCAGUACUUUGACUGUGCUAAGGUAGCAUAAUCAAUUGUCUUUUAAUUGGGGACUAGAAUGAAUGAAUUUAUGGUUAAAUACUUUAUUUAUAUGUUUAUUUAAAAAUUUUUUUAUUAGGUGAAAAGACCUAAAAAAUUAUAUUAGACGAGAAGACCCCAGGAAUUUAUAUUAUUUUUUAUUGGGGCGAUAACUAAACAUCUUAAACUUUAGUUUUUAUUUAUACAACGAAAUAAUUUUAAUGAAGAAUAAAUUACCCUGGGGAUAACAGCAUAAUUUUUUUUAAAGAUUGUGACCUCGAUGUUGGAUUAGAAAAUAUUUUACUUAAAGAGUAAGAGUUAUUGUUCUGUUCGAACACUUUUAAUUUCUACGUGAUCUGA
rnacentral:rRNA from 1 species